UACGUAGGUGGCGAGCGUUAUCCGGAAUUAUUGGGCGUAAAGAGCGCGCAGGUGGUUGAUUAAGUCUGAUGUGAAAGCCCACGGCUUAACCGUGGAGGGUCAUUGGAAACUGGUCGACUUGAGUGCAGAAGAGGGAAGUGGAAUUCCAUGUGUAGCGGUGAAAUGCGUAGAGAUAUGGAGGAACACCAGUGGCGAAGGCGGCUCUCUGGUCUGUAACUGACACUGAGGCACGAAAGCGUGGGGAGCAAACAGGAUUAGA
rnacentral:rRNA from 1 species